GCCUCGGUGGUGUAGUGGUAGCACGCGUCUCCGGUAUGGAUGAAACGCCGGUUCGACUCCCGUCUGAGGUC